rnacentral:rRNA from 1 species
AUUGAACGCUGGCGGCAGGCCUAACACAUGCAAGUCGAGCUGAGCGCCGGACGGGUGAGUAAUGCCUAUGAAUCUGCCUGGUCGUGGGGGAUAACGUCCGGAAACGGGGGCUUAUAUCGCAUACUAUCAGAAUAGCCUAGGUCGGAUUGGCUAGUUGGUGGGGUAACGGCUUACCAAGUCGACGAUCCGUAACUGGUCUGAGAGGCUGAUCAGGCAGACUGGAACUGAGACACGGUCCAGACUCCGACGGGAGGCAGCAGUGGUGAAUAGUGGACAAUGGGCGAAAGCAUGAUCCAGCCAUGCCGCGUGUUUGAAGAAGGUCUUCGGAUUGUAAAGCACUUUAAGUUGGGAGGCGUUACCAACAGAAUAAGCACCGGGUAACUUCGUGCCAGCAGCCGCGGUAAUUC